rnacentral:rRNA from 1 species
GACGAACGCUGGCGGCGGGCUUAACACAUGCAAGUCGAACGGAAAGGCCCUGCUUUUGUGGGGUGCUCGAGUGGCGAACGGGUGAGUAACACGUGAGUAACCUGCCCUUGACUUUGGGAUAACUUCAGGAAACUGGGGCUAAUACCGGAUAGGAGCUCCUGCUGCAUGGAGGGGGUUGGAAAGUUUCGGCGGUUGGGGAUGGACUCGCGGCUUAUCGGCUAGUUGGUGGGGGAGUGGCUUGCCAAGGCUUUGACGGGUAGCCGGCCCGAGAGGGUGGACGGCCACCAUGGGCCUGAGAGACGGCCCAGUCUGCUACGGUAGGCAGCGGUGGGGAAUAUUGCCCAAUGGGCGGAAGCCUGAUGCGGCAACGCCGCGGGUGUGAAGACGGCCUGUGGGUUGAAAACCGCUUUCGCCUGUGACGAAGCGGUUGUGACGGUACCGGGUAAAUAAGCACCGGCUAACUACGUG